CAGGCUACAGAAUAACGUCCACGUUUUGCUCCAGAUCCUCCCAUCCUCCCAGGGGGAAGGCAAUGGCUGCAAUGGAGCUGGCUCAGGCCUUCCAUUCUCCUGUUCAAGAGACAUCCCCCAGGGCUCCCUCUGCCUGUGUGACUGGCCAGCAGGGAGUGGUGAUAACUUCCUAUCCACUUCUCAGGCACUGUGAGGCUGCGGAAUAAUGUCCAUGUUUCGCUCCAGUUCAUCCCGUCCUCUCGUUGGACAGGGGAGAGAAAUGGCUGCAGAGGAGCCAGUUCAGGGGCCAGUGACCUUCGAGGAGGUGGCUGUGUAUUUCUCCAG